AUGUGGCAUUGCCAGUCUGGCUACAACCACCUGGGUUACCACCGUGAUUAGGGGGCGGCGCCACGGCCCUUUUUAACAGCGGAUGGGUUUGCUCCACAGGCCCUUUUCUUCAAUCUCCCGUGGUGGUUGUGGCUGGCGUGGCGGAGCUGUAGCCUUAGCGUGCUGGUUAGGGUCGGGCUUCCACACAGCGUGAGUGGCUGCUGGGGUGUGGAGAGCCGACUGCUCCGCUGAAUGUGGUGCGCGCGGCUGGAUUUCUGCUCCGAUCAUUGGAUAACCGAACCGUGGGAUCGGAGGCAUUGGCGCUUCUCCUGGUUCCUGGGUAUGCCAACCGAGCGGUGCUGCGGCCGGGGCAGCCGCCCCAUCCCUGGUGGUGGUUCACAUCCCUUUUCGUGCAGUGUGAGUGUUUACACGGGUGGUUUAGAACACGGACCCC